rnacentral:misc_RNA from 1 species
GGCUCGGGAAGAUUCGACAAGACUUGGAGAGGAUUAAUGAAGAGCCAGUUCAUGACAUUGAAGCAUUAGAUUGUGAUAGAGCAUUCACUUCUACUAACCUUACUGCUUUUCAGCUUUCUAUGGAUCAUAGUACUAGUGUUGAUGAGGAAGUUCAGAGAAUAAGAAAUGAACACCCUGAUGAUGCUAAUGCCGUGAUGAACGACCGUGUUAAAGGCUCGUUGAAAGUUAC